rnacentral:rRNA from 1 species
GACGAACGCUGGCGGCAUGCCUAAUACAUGCAAGUCGAGCGAACAGAUGAAGUGCUUGCACUUCUGACGUUAGCGGCGAACGGGUGAGUAACACGUAAGGAAUCUACCUAUAAGCGGGGGAUAACAUUCGGAAACGGGUGCUAAUACCGCAUAAUAUCUUCUUCCGCAUGGAAGAAGAUUGAAAGACGGCUCUGCUGUCACUUAUAGAUGACCUUGCGGUGCAUUAGUUAGUUGGUGGGGCAAUGGCCUACCAAGACGAUGAUGCAUAGCCGACCUGAGCGGGUGAUCGGCCACCGUGGGACUGAGACACGGCCCAAACUCCUACGGGAGGCAGCAGUAGGGAAUCUUCCGCAAUGGGCGAAAGCCUGACGGAGCAAUGCCGCGUGAGUGAAGAAGGCCUUCGGGUCGUAAAACUCUGUUAUAAGAGAAGAACAAAUUGUAGAGUAACUGCUACAGUCUUGACGGUAUCUUAUCAGAAAGCCACGGCUAACUACGUGCCAGCCGCCGCAGUAA